CCCUUAGAUGUUCUGGGCCGCACACGCGCUACACUGAAGGAGGCAGCGUGUACUCCUGGAUCGAAAGAUUUGGGUAACCCGCGAAUCUCCUUCGUGCUAGGGAUUGAGGUUUGCAAUUAUCCUUCAUGAACGAGGAAUUCCCAGUAAGUGCAAGUCAUAAGCUUGCGCUGACUACGUCCCUGCCCUUUGUACACACCGCCCGUCGCUACUACCGAUUGAAUGAUUUAGUGAGGACUUCGGACUGGGACCGAUGCGGCUUUCGGGCUGCAUCGGUAUUCUGGAAAGAUGUCCAAACUGUNUNAUUUAGNGGAAGUAAAANUCGUANCA
rnacentral:rRNA from 1 species